GCCCAACUUUCACAAGAAGAGAGAGGAAAGGGGCAGUUUACAGAGACAGGUUGUAGAAAGAGAGAGAGAACAAGCCAGACACGGGUGAGGACAGAAAACCAGAGAAUGAGAAGGAGCAGAAGAUUAGAACAGAUUGCUGGAAUUAGUUUGUGACCAAACCAAACAAUUCAGUAAGAAACUGAGAGGUCAGACGGAAUCAGACAGCUUGAAGAGGAGUUUGAGCCAGGACAGCUGAGUUGAAUCAGCUAUCCAGUGCUCAAUAAGAACUAGGAAGGGGUGAGUUUCUCUAUCAGUAAGUCUCAAAGGCUGAAAAUAUUCUAGGUCUAGAUAAGAUUGUAUGGAGGUUAGAAGUUUCUAAGACUAGGCCUAGUUUAGCAGAAGGCAACGAUCUUCCAGAGAACAGCACCAUACUGGCCUGCUGCCAUGCUUCCUGCCAUGAUGAUAAUGGACUAAACCUCUGAAACAGUAAGCCAACCCCCAACCAAAUGCUUUCAAUGUUCAUGGUGUCUCUUCAACACAAUGGAACACUGACUAAGUCUCUCUCUCUCUCUCUUCCCAUGACAGACUCAAGACCUGAAGUCCUGUGUAGUCAGCACAGCUACGGAGAGAUGAGUGACCAAUUCUUGAUCCCUUCUUCCAUGGAUGAUCAAGACCUGAAAAGGAAGAACCAGGGCUGAGGUGUAGCUGGGCAGUAGGCUUCCCGCUUUAGCAUGCUCACGAGGCCCUGGGUUCCACCCCCAGCGUGCAAAUUUAAGUCAAAUUAGAAAUAAAACAUAAGGCACUAGUAGAAUGCUCUGUCAACCCAUUUCUUGUUGAAAGCCCUUGUCCCAACCUAUCCCUUAGACAUGAAUCUUAUGUCCCCUGAAAUUAGAACCUCUCACCUUUAUGCAGAUGUGUGUAGAGUUAGCUUUGCCAUGUGUUAAAGGAAACAAAAUGUCUUCCAUUAGGGCUUCUUUGCAGCUUUGGUUGACUUCCCUGACUUCAGGGAGACCGUGGCCCAUUGUUGUCCCAACCAGGACAGAACAGAGGUAUUGCUGGCACAGUUUGGCUGGGAAUGAGGACACAUGCUGGCAAAAGAGCCCAUGCCUCCUCUGUCUGUGUGCUAAUACCUGUUAGGAAUUAGCUUUUGCCACUUGUGAACGUGCCUGGCUUUCUUCCCUGGACCUCAGUAUAUAACUAUAUAAGGUGUUGCUAGUGGAUUUGAUCUUUAAUGACUGUUUGAGAGGCGAGUGUGGUACCCUGUAAUCUCAGCUACUAAUGAAAUCUCCUCAGGAAGAUGAUAAACUCAAGCCCUGCCUAGGUUGCAAAGUGAUUCCAAGGCCAAACCUUGGUCACUUAGUGAGACCUGUGUAAAACAAAAGGGCAAAACAAGAGCUGGGGCUAACCUAGCGGUAGAAGCCUCGCCCAGCA
rnacentral:lncRNA from 1 species